rnacentral:rRNA from 1 species
UAGGGAAUCUUCCACAAUGGGCGCAAGCCUGAUGGAGCAACACCGCGUGAGUGAAGAAGGGUUUCGGCUCGUAAAACUCUGUUGUUAAAGAAGAACAUAUCUGAGAGUAACUGUUCAGGUAUUGACGGUAUUUAACCAGAAAGCCACGGCUAACUACGCGCCAG